rnacentral:rRNA from 1 species
UUGACCUCGGAUCAGGUAGGGAUACCCGCUGAACUUAAGCAUAUCAAUAAGCGGAGGAAAAGAAACCAACAGGGAUUGCCUCAGUAACGGCGAGUGAAGCGGCAAAAGCUCAAAUUUGAAAUCUGGCUCCUUCGGGGCCCGAGUUGUAAUUUGUAGAGGAUGCUUCGGGCGUGGCCGCGGUCUAAGUCCCCUGGAACGGGGCGUCGCAGAGGGUGAGAAUCCCGUCUUCGGCCGGCCGGCUUCGCCCAUGUGAAGCUCCUUCGACGAGUCGAGUUGUUUGGGAAUGCAGCUCUAAAUGGGUGGUAAAUUUCAUCUAAAGCUAAAUACUGGUCGGAGACCGAUAGCGCACAAGUAGAGUGAUCGAAAGAUGAAAAGCACUUUGAAAAGAGAGUUAAACAGCAUGUGAAAUUGUUGAAAGGGAAGCGCUUGCGACCAGAGUCGGCCGCGGGGGUUCAGCGGGCAUUCGUUGCCCGUGCACUCCCCCGUGGCCGGGCCAGCGUCGGUUUCGACGGCCGGUCAAAGGCCCCCGGAAUGUGUCACCCUUCGGGGUGUCUUAUAGCCGGGGGUGCAAUGCGGCCAGUCGGGACCGAGGAACGCGCUUCGGCACGGACGCUGGCUUAAUGGUCGUAAGCGACC